rnacentral:rRNA from 1 species
CAGUAGCCUCGGUAAUACGUAGGGUGCAAGCGUUAAUCGGAAUUACUGGGCGUAAAGCGUGCGCAGGCGGUUAUAUAAGACAGAUGUGAAAUCCCCGGGCUCAACCUGGGAACUGCAUUUGUGACUGUAUAGCUAGAGUACGGCAGAGGGGGAUGGAAUUCCGCGUGUAGCAGUGAAAUGCGUAGAUAUGCGGAGGAACACCGAUGGCGAAGGCAAUCCCCUGGGCCUGUACUGACGCUCAUGCACGAAAGCGUGGGGAGCAAACAGGAUUAGAUACCCCAGUAGUCCCUGUCUCUUAUAC